rnacentral:rRNA from 1 species
CCUACGGGUGGCAGCAGUGGGGGAUAUUGCACAAUGGGGGGAACCCUGAUGCAGCGACGCCGCGUGGGUGAAGGAGUGCUUCUGCAUGUAAAGCCUUAUCGGCAUGGAAGAAGCAUGACGGUACCUUACUAAGAAUCCCCUGCUAACUACGUGCCAGCAGCCGCGGUAAUACGUAGGGGGCGAGCGUUAUCCGGAUUCACUGGGUGUAAAGGGAGCGUAGACGGCCAUGCAAGCCAGGGGUGAAAGCGCGGGGCCCAACCCCGAGACUGCCCUUGAAACUGCAUGGCUGGAGUGCGGGAGGGGCAAUCGGAAUGCCGUGUGUAGCGGUGAAAUGCGUAGAUAUACGGAGGAACACCAGUGGCGAAGGCGGAUUGCUGGACAGUAACUGACGCUGAGGCGCGAAAGCGUGGGGAGCAAACAGGAUUAGAUACCCUAGUAGUC